rnacentral:tRNA from 1 species
CCGGAUGUGGUGUAAGUAGCACGCUUGCUUUGGAGGCAAGAUAGUGUAGGUUCAAAUCCUGUCGUUCGGA